UCCGAUAUGGUGUAUCGGCUAGCAUCGCCCGCUUUCAAGUCAACAACAGUUGCUUCCAAGCGUCUGAAAAAGGUACUUAGUACCGGGCAGAGCCGGGUUCGACUCCCGGUAUCGGAA